rnacentral:rRNA from 1 species
UACGAGGGGGGCAAGCGUUGUUCGGAAUUAUUGGGCGUAAAGCGUGCGCAGGCGGUUUGCUAAGAGAGAUGUGAAAUCCCCCGGGCUUAACCUGGGAACUGCGUUUCUAACUGGCAGGCUUGAGUCCGGAAGGGGCGAGUGGAAUUCCUGGUGUAGCGGUGAAAUGCGCAGAUAUCAGGAGGAACACCAAUGGCGAAGGCAGCUCGCUGGAACGGUACUGACGCUGAGGCGCGAAAGCUAGGGGAGCGAACGGG